UACGUAGGGGGCAAGCGUUGUCCGGAUUUAUUGGGCGUAAAGAGCGUGUAGGCGGCCAGGCAGGUCCGCUGUGAAAACUCGAGGCUCAACCUCGAGACGUCGGUGGAAACCGUUUGGCUAGAGUCCGGAAGAGGAGAGUGGAAUUCCCGGUGUAGCGGUGAAAUGCGCAGAUAUCGGGAAGAACACCCGUGGCGAAGGCGGCUCUCUGGGACGGUACUGACGCUGAGACGCGAAAGCGUGGGGAGCGAACAGG
rnacentral:rRNA from 1 species